rnacentral:rRNA from 1 species
CCGGCACGGGUGAGUAACACGUAUCCAACCUGCCGUCUACUCUUGGACAGCCUUCUGAAAGGAAGAUUAAUACAAGAUGGCAUCAUGAGUUCACAUGUUCACAUGAUUAAAGGUAUUCCGGUAGACGAUGGGGAUGCGUUCCAUUAGAUAGUAGGCGGGGUAACGGCCCACCUAGUCUUCGAUGGAUAGGGGUUCUGAGAGGAAGGUCCCCCACAUUGGAACUGAGACGCGGUCCAA